AUUGAACGCUGGCGGCAUGCCUUACACAUGCAAGUCGAACGGCAGCGCGGACUUCGGUCUGGCGGCGAGUGGCGAACGGGUGAGUAAUACAUCGGAACGUACCCUGUUGUGGGGGAUAACUAGUCGAAAGAUUAGCUAAUACCGCAUACGACCUGAGGGUGAAAGUGGGGGACCGCAAGGCCUCACGCAGCAGGAGCGGCCGAUGUCUGAUUAGCUAGUUGGAGGGGUAAAGGCCCACCAAGGCGACGAUCAGUAGCUGGUCUGAGAGGACGAUCAGCCACACUGGGACUGGGACACGGCCCAGACUCCGACGGGAGGCAGCAGUGGGGAAUUUUGGACAAUGGGGGCAACCCUGAUCCAGCAAUGCCGCGUGUGUGAAGAAGGCCUUCGGGUUGUAAAGCACUUUUGUCCGGAAAGAAAUCGCGCUGGUUAAUACCUGGCGUGGAUGACGGUACCGGAAGAAUAAGCACCGGCUAACUACGUGCCAGCCGCCGCCGUAA
rnacentral:rRNA from 1 species